GACGAACGCUGGCGGCGUGCUUAACACAUGCAAGUCGAACGGAAAGGCCCUGCUUGCAGGGUAUUAGAGUGGCGAACGGGUGAGUAACACGUGGGUGCACCGCCCUGUACUUCGGGAUAAGCCUUGGCAAAUGGGUAUAUAACCGGAUAGGAGACACUAUUUGUGUGAGGGUUGGAAAGUUUUUUCGGUGUAGGAUGAGCUGGCGGCCUAUCAGCUUGUUGGUGGGGUAAUGGCCUACCAAGGCGACGACGUGUAGCCGGACUGUGAGGGUGGACGGCCACACUGGGACUUAGGUGCGGCCCAGGCGCCGACGAGAGGCAGCAGUGGGGUAUAUUGCACAAGCGACGCCAGCCUGAUGCAGCGACGCUGCGUGUGGGAUGACGGCCUUCGGGUUGUAGACACCUUUCGCUAGAGACGAAGCUUUUUGUGACGGUACCUAGAGAAGAAGCACCGGCUAACUACGUG
rnacentral:rRNA from 1 species